rnacentral:lncRNA from 1 species
GUGACCAUGUUGAAGCCUUCUUUCAAAAUUAUGGCAAUUGUUUUGAGAAUUACAAGAAUAACUUGGCCAUCAAUUGAAAUACAUGUCUCAAUUAGGUUAAAUAGUGGACACAUAAUCCCUAUAUCUAGAGAAAUAGGAAGACAAUCAGCUCCACGAAAGCAUGGAUCAUUCGAAGUGAGGGAUGCUCAAAAAGGUGGAGUUGUAUGUUUGACAAGUGUAGAAGAAGA